rnacentral:tRNA from 1 species
GGUGUAUGGCUCAGUAGGUAGGGUGCUUGCCUUGCCUUGCACAAGGCCCUGGGUUCAAUCCCCAGCACCA